rnacentral:rRNA from 1 species
GGUACCGCGAUAUAACAGAACUGUGGGGACACGUGUGGAGAGCACAAGCCGGGAAUGGAAAGCCCGGCGCAAGCAAGGUAGGAGUCGUACUGGCAAAUCCGUACGGCAAUCCGUAGAUGUGAUGCGUACCGAAUCAAGAGUAGGGAAGAGUGUGAGCCAUGCGUCAAGAAAAGCCGCUAUUGUUUGUAUCGCGCCCGUACCGUAAACCGACACAGGUGGAUGAGGAGAGAAUCCUAAGGCCUCGGGAGAAGCAUUGUUAAGGAACUCGGCAAAAUGACUCCGUAACUUCGGGAGAAGGAGUGCCACUGAGAGGUGGCCGCAGAGAAUUGGCCCAAUCAACUGUUUAGCAAAAACACAGGUCUAUGCAAAACCGAAAGGUGAAGUAUAUGGGCUGACGCCUGCCCGGUGCUGGAAGGUUAAGGGGAGAGGUUAGCGCAAGCGAAGCUUUGAACUUAAGCCCCAGUAAACGGCGGCCGUAACAAUAACGGUCCUAAGGUAGCGAAAUUCCUUGUCGGGUAAGUUCCGACCCGCACGAAAGGCGUAAUGAUUUGGGCACUGUCUCAACAAUGCACCCGGUGAAAUUGAAAUACCAGUGAAGAUGCUGGUUACCUGCGCCAGGACGGAAAGACCCCAUGGAGCUUUACUCCAGCUUGAUACUGGGAUUCGGUAUUGCAUGUACAGGAUAGGUGGGAGGCUUUGAAGCGGUAACGCCAGUUGCCGUGGAGUUGUUGUUGGGAUACCACCCUUGCAGUACUGGGUUUCUAACCAGCGGCCUUUAUCAGGUCGGGGGACAAUGUCAGGUGGGGAGUUUGACUGGGGCGGUCGCCUCCGAAAGUGUAUCGGAGGCGCUCAAAGGUUCCCUCAGAAUGGUCGGAAACCAUUCGAAGAGUGCAAAGGCAGAAGGGAGCUUGACUGCGACACCGACGGGUGGAGCAGGUACGAAAGUAGGACUUAGUGAUCCGGUGGUAUAAAGUGGGAUUGCCAUCGCUCAACGGAUAAAAGCUACCCUGGGAUAACAGGCUUAUCACUCCCAAGAGUUCACAUCGACGGAGUGGUUUGGCACCUCGAUGUCGGCUCAUCGCAUCCUGGGGCUGAAGUAGGCCCCAAGGGUUGGGCCGUUCGCCCAUUAAAGCGGUACGCGAGCUGGGUUCAGAACGUCGUGAGACAGUUCGGUCCCUAUCCGGCGUGGGCGUAGGAUAUUUGAGAGGAGCUGUCCUUAGUACGAGAGGACCGGGAUGGACUGGCCGCUGGUUGAUCUGUUGUUCUGCCAAGAGCAUAGCAGAGUAGCCAAGCCGGGACGGGAUAAACGCUGAAGGCAUCUAAGCGUGAAGCCCCCCUCAAGAUGAGAUAUCCCAACGAAAGUUGUAAGACCCCUUGAAGACGACGAGGUAGAUAGGACAGAGGUGGAAGUGUGGUAACACAUGGAGCUGACUGUUACUAAUAGGUCGAGGGCAUAACCU